rnacentral:rRNA from 1 species
AUUGAACGCUGGCGGCAGGCCUAACAAAUGCAAGUCGAACGAGUGGCGGACGGGUGAGUAAUGUCUGGGAAACUGCCUGAUGGAGGGGGAUAACUACUGGAAACGGUAGCUAAUACCGCAUACCAUCAGAUGUGCCCAGAGGGGAUUUGCUUGUUGGUGGGGUAAGGUCUCACCAAGGCGACGAUCCCUUGCUGGUCUGCAAGGAUGACCACCCAUGAUGGAACUGAGAAACGGUCAGGACUCCUACGGUAGGCAGCAGUGGGGAAUAUUGCACAAUGGGCGCGAGCCUGAUGCAGCCAUGCCGCGUGUAUGAAGAAGGCCUUCGGGUUGUAAAGUACUUUCAGCUGGGAGGCGUUACCCGCAGAAGAAGCACCGGCUAACUCCGUGCCAGCCGCCGCGGUAAUAC